UAGUUGUGUCUUACAGAUUCUGAACAAAUCGU
rnacentral:piRNA from 1 species